CGCAGAUGCUGAGCUGAACAAGGAUUCAGAGAUGGAUAAAGAAAGAGUUAAAAAGAGAAUUCAUCAAUUUGACAUGGGGCAUGAGUUGAAAGAAUGGGGCAGAAAUCUCUUUGAAGGGCCUCCUCUCACUCUCACCCAGUCCUGAUUGACACCGAGGAUGAAGGUGCAUCUCACUUCGUCUUUCCCUUAGCGGUCCGCACCCAAGUCUCUUCAUUACAUCUUCAAUUAUCCCAGUUGUUUGAGCCAUCUUUUAUUGAAGGAGAUG
rnacentral:lncRNA from 1 species